rnacentral:misc_RNA from 1 species
CGAAAUGCGAUAAGUAAUGUGAAUUGCAGAAUUCAGUGAAUCAUCGAAUCUUUGAACGCACCUUGCGCCCUUUGGUAUUCCGAGGGGCAUGCCUGUUUGAGUGUCAUUAAAUACCAUCAACCCUCUUUUGACUUCGGUCUCGAGAGUGGCUUGGAAGUGGAGGUCUGCUGGAGCCUAACGGAGCCAGCUCCUCUUAAAUGUAUUAGCGGAUUUCCCUUGCGGGAUCGCGUCUCCGAUGUGAUAAUUUCUACGUCGUUGACCAUCUCGGGGCUGACCUAGUCAGUUUCAAUAGGAGUCUGCUUCUAACCGUCUCUUGACUGAGACUAGCGACUUGUGCGCUAACUUUUGACUUGACCUCAAAUCAGGUAGGACUACCCGCUGAACUUAAGC